CUGCAGAAACAGUGCUGGGGCCUGGAGCCUGCCAUGUGGGAGCUGCCUGGGCUGGCGCUUAGCACCUGUAUGACCCCCCGUGGAAACCAUAGAAACACAUUGAGAGCAGGCAAGAUUUCCAAAGGGCUGUGAUCCUGCGUUUUCACAGGGCAGCGAAACAGAGGGUGAGUAAUAUCGAGGAUGAACGGAGGUAGAAGAUGAAAAAGAGAGGAGAGCACUGAUGAAUGAGAAUUCUUAGGUGGUGAGGAGUGAUGUAAUCCAAAGAAGAAUGGAAAGGCCCUGAAGCAGCUGGCACUGGCUGCACCAAUGAACACAAGUUCCCAGCAUUUGUAAAUUCCAAGUUCACAGUGGCCAGAGGAGGAGACGGUGCUUGUCAUGGCAGAAGCAAGAUUUCAGAGCCUAGUGAAGAUGAAUCCCAGGCAAAGACUGCUGCAGAGAAGCAAGAUAAGUUCUUGAGUUCCUGCCUAGCUGUUGCAGGCAAGUGCUUGCAGCUCAGAGAUAUGGACUGGUAAGUGCUAUAAUGAAGCAUCUUUGUGUAAGAGGAUGGAUUUUUUUUAUACUCAACAUUUUCAGAUAAAUUUAAAGAAAUGAAAGUCCUUAGUUACCUCCUCCCUGUUCCCAAAUAACCUUCACAAUUUUUUUGGUACUU
rnacentral:lncRNA from 1 species